UGACGGGUAACGGGGAAUUAGGGUUCGAUUCCGGAGAGGGAGCCUGAGAAACGGCUACCACAUCUAAGGAAGGCAGCAGGCGCGCAAAUUACCCAAUCCUAAUACAGGGAGGUAGUGACAAGAAAUAACAAUACAGGACUUAAUUGUUUUGUAAUUGGAAUGAGUUAAGUAUAAACCCCUUUACAAGUAUCAAUUGGAGGGCAAGUCUGGUGCCAGCAGCCGCGGUAAUUCCAGCUCCAAUAGCGUAUAUUAAAGUUGUUGCAGUUAAAAAGCUCGUAGUUGGAUUUCUGUUAAUAUUUUAUAUUAUUAAUUAUUAUUAUUAAUAUAAUAUUAACAUAAUUCAUAUUACUUUUUUUAAGUAUAUGAAAUUUUACUUUGAGAAAAUUAGAGUGCUUAAAGCAGGCAUUUGCCUUGAAUACUCCAGCAUGGAAUAAUAUUAAAGAUUUUUAUCUUUCUUAUUGGUUCUAAGAUAGAAAUAAUGAUUAAUAGGG
rnacentral:rRNA from 1 species